UACGAAGGGGGCUAGCGUUGCUCGGAAUUACUGGGCGUAAAGGGAGCGUAGGCGGACAGCUAAGUCAGAGGUGAAAGCCCAGGGCUCAACCCUGGAAUUGCCUUUGAUACUGGCUAUCUUGAGUAUGGGAGAGGUGUGUGGAACUCCGAGUGUAGAGGUGAAAUUCGUAGAUAUUCGGAAGAACACCAGUGACGAAGGCGACACACUGGCCCAUUACUGACGCUGAGGCUCGAAAGCGUGGGGAGCAAACAGG
rnacentral:rRNA from 1 species